UUAACUCAAAUUUGUGUGGAGUUUGGAACGUUUGCCGCUAGGGGCGCUGUUCCGACUGCGUACAAAUUUGAGUCA
rnacentral:pre_miRNA from 1 species